GGCUCUUCUGCCAUGACUACACCCGGGGCGCCAGCCGGCAGAGGGAUGUGGUGAUAGAGCAGAUGGAGCGGGAGGUCUUGGAGGAGACGGCUUUGAGGUGCACCAGGCGCUGACUGGGGUUCUCUGAUCAGUAUCCCCCUCUGGAUCCCUAGUUUUGAACCUGUGAUCUCCACUUCCUGCCCUGGUAUUUCUCAGUUGUCCCACGUAUUUAGUUGAGUCCUGGGUCCAGGGGUUCUUCCCACAUGGCUGAGGAGGGACCCUUAGUGUCCUGGAUUAGGUGAGCAAUGAUGACAUAGCAGUCUCAACUCUUCAUGAAUGGUCCGGUAUUGAUAUGACUGGAGACUGACAUCUGCUUAAUCCACCACAUGCAGCAGCUGUGUGAGCUUGUGCGUAAGAUCCUGUCACUGUGCCUAUUUCCUAACCCGGAGGCCCCAUCUGUGGGGGUCAGAAGGCAGUUCAGUUUCAUACCUGGUGGCUGAGAUAACCAGUUGUGCGCUGGUGACUUCCAGGAUGUAUGGAUAUCUGGAAUUGGACUGAAGCGGGAAGAGACCCUUUGCUGAUGGUAGUACUCAGAAGUUGCUACUGAGAGAGGCUGAGUUCUGACUUGCAGCCUAGAUGUGCAAGGGGCCUUUGUACCAUAGUGCAAAUAACAGGAGUGAUUUUAGGUUUCCAAUUAGCAGUGUAACAAUUAGCUGCUGUUAGUCUCCUCUGAAGCAUAUCUGUACGUAGUGCUGUCUGGAUUUCAGUGACUCUUCCCAGUAGAUAUUGAAAUACAUUAUGUGGGACUGACUGCCCUUUCCAAAGACCACAUGGGAGACUUGACACUGUUCUUCCCUGCAGUAGGGGAUCCAGAAGACGGGCAGCCCAACACAAGAUUGCCCAGCAAUGCAAAUGUUGGACCAGAGCUGAAGCAGUGAGAUGCACAGUCACCUACUGGAAAGGAAGAUGAUCCACCCACCAAAAAAAACAAAACCAGAAAAUAUGCAACCAGCUCCAGAGGUGAUCCCAGAAAUUACAGGCCUGACAACCUGUGAAGAGAACUGCUGGCCAGGUAACAAAGCCAGUUGAGUUCCAUUUCUGCACAGAUGAGAGGAUUAAACAGCACACAGAACGCCCACCUGGGAAUGAAUACAAGAAGCUGGAUUUCGUAGCAGUCCCGAGAAAGUACCCUGCAAUGCUGGUGAACGAGUGCGUCAUCGGAACAGCGCAGGCCAACAGGAAGUGAGGGGUGCCACCAUCCUGGCUUGGCUGCAGGGUGCGGCUGGAGCCCUGUGGGACCAAUGCUUUCUGCACUCACUGGGGCUGUGGGGUGGUGCAUGGGUGUUUGAUGCUGUGACGAAGCAGGGUCUUUCAUCCUGUUAUGUUCCACGUGAAUCUUACUGUUCUAUACUAACACAGUGCGUACCUCCAUUUCCCUGUGUACGGCACCAAUGCCUAGUGGUGGGAAUUGGGUGUGUGACUUUUGCUGAUGCCCUCGGGGCAGGUAAGGCUGCCCAGCUGACUGGAUGAUGGCUUUGUAACCUGAGACCCAGGAGGGGGAUGUGACCAAGUGACACUUUGCCUGGGAAGCAAGACAAAGACCGGAGGAGGAGCAAGGGACCUGGGGGAGGCCAGGCAGCAGGAUCCAGGGCAGUCUGCUGUGGGGGACUGGAAGAGGGGGAGCCCAGGGCCCCCCAAGAUCAGGGGUUCUCAAACUGGGGGUUGGGACCCCUCAGGGGGUCCCAAGGUUAUUACAUGGGAUGGCGCGAGUGGUCAGCCUCCACCUCAAACCCCGCUUUUCCUCCAGCAUGUAUAAUGGUGUUAAAUAUAUAAAAACGUGUUUUAAAUUGAUAAGGGGGGGGGGUCACACUCAGAGGCUUGCUAUGUGAAAGGGGUCACCAGUACAAAAGUUUGAGAACCACUGCCCAAGAUGGACUCGGCUGAAAGUCACUGAUUUCUGUGCUAACAAGAUCUAUUCUACCCUGUGUUCCUGUCGGCUAAUAAACCUUGUUUUGCAA